UGUUGGAGCGAGCCUGCUCGCGAUAGCGGUAUGUCUGCCACAGCAGAGGUGGCUGAUCUGGCGCUAUCGCGAGCAGGCUCGCUCCCACA
rnacentral:misc_RNA from 1 species